CGUUUCACAUUAAAGCAAAACCCAGCCCCGGAUAAAUAAGUCAGCCAUUCCAGUGGAUUCCUGCCUGCAGAGGGCCUCUCAGUCAGCUUGGUGCCUGCAGUCUGCCGCCAAGAUCCCAAGUCCUGUGACCCAGGCAGAGGUUCUGGGAGGAGCCGACGGCCAUCUCUUUCACCAGGAGAACCAAGUAGCUCCCUUAACCUCAGCCUCAUGACCAUGUUUCAGCACUGUCUUAGACUUGGCUUUUCAGACUCAGUUCUGCUUCACACACUCAGUUCUGCGAUCACGCGAGGAAGGGAGCUUAUUAGUAAAUCCGUGUGGAGACCACAGCCCACACCAUCAGUGAGAAUCAGC